rnacentral:rRNA from 1 species
UCGCAUUGGUCUCAAACCAAUGACAUGCAUUUCGAAAACCAUGAGUUCGAGGUGGACGAGGAGGGUGAGGGCAUUGUCGAUGCAUCAAAAGGAAGAGCGGGCAAUUACACCAACGCUGAUGACAUCUUACUAUGCAAUACUUGGUUGCAAGUGUCGAGGGAUCCAUCCGUUGGAGGUGAUCAAAGUAGAGAUGCUUAUUGGCUUCGGAUGAAGGAACACUUUGAUGUUCGCAACGUGAGUGGAAUUGACCGCUCCGACCGAUCACUUCGGUCCCGGUGGUCGACUAUCAACUCGGAUUGUCAACGGUGGGUGGCCUGUCAAAAGGCGGUUGACAAGUUGAACCCAAGUGGCACAAAUGAGGACGAUAGAGUAAGUGAAGAGGAGAGGAAAACCAAGAAGGGGAAGAUCAAGAAAGGAAGGAUAUUUACUUUGCCUCAUUGCUAUGAAGUGUUGAAGGAUGAUGAGAAAUGGAAGAAGCGUGAAGAUUUGGAUGAUUUGCAUUUGAGCAACAAACGGAAGCAAACAAUUAAGUUGGAUGAUGAUGAGGAUGAUGCAUCAAGUGAUGACGGCAAGAGAAGCCCCACACCCAACUCGGUUUCAUACUCGAAGCCAAAGCGACCGGAUGGGUGCAAGAAAGAUAAAACCGAAAAGAAGAAGAGGAAAGGAGAUGAUGAGCUCAAAAAUGCUAUGGAAGCUAUUGUGAAGGCAAGAAAAGAAGCCAACGAGGUGAGGAAAAUGGCAAGGAACCAAGAUGCCGCAGCCGAGGAGAGGAGGUUGGCGGCCGAGGAGAGGAAGGUGGCGGCCGAGGAGAGGAAGAUGAGCAAUGAGGAGCGAACAAGAUUGUUGAAAUGGGAGAAGCACUUGUUCUUCUUGGACACAUCUAUCCUCAAUGAGGUGCAAAAGGAGUAUGUCAAUCUUGCUCAUGAAGAAGUCUUG